UUGUAAAACCCUAGAUUUGUAUCUCCUUCCUGUACCCCUCUUCUCUUCUCACGUACGCUUCUUUAACAAAACCCUAGAUUUCUAUUUGUUCAUCCUUCUUCUCCUUCAAGCUCUGGAAUCCAUCAACCUCAAAUCGAUUCAACCAUCAGGUAUGUUUUGGUUCCGAUAAUCGACGCCGCCACAUUAGAUAUUCUGCUUUUGUGCUCUACGAUUAUCUUCAAGAUUCUUGAGAAGGUUUAGAGUCUAAAACUUUAAGAUUACCAAAAGUACCAGAUGCCAACAGGUUAACAUAAAUUUCCCAUACAUUAAAAAAUUAUGCAAUUUAUCCCUGUUAUCCUAGGAUGGAAUAUUUUAUUUCCUCAUAUACUAUUUAGGCUUUGGAUUCCUCAGGUUUUUGAACAGGAGAAAUCAUAAACGAAUAACAAUCCAUGGUAGCUUUCUGUUGACUAGCAUUCAGAUCAUAUGGAUCAGAUGUAAACGGGUCAGUGGUAAUCGGUAAUUGGGUUUUUUAUCAUUCGGAUAGGAAGGUACUAUGAGGAUCCUGAUUAAUGACAUGUGCCUUAAUUAGCUAACUAGAUAUCCAAGAAGCUAAUUUUAUGCAGCCCAAGGGUUGGUUGGUGUUUAUGUAUAUGUAAAUCUUAUAAUUGAAUAAUGUGCAAUGAAAAAUCAAAUUUCUUUGUGAAUUAUGAGGAGUCUGGAUAUGAUAUCCGUUCCAUUUCGUGUGUUCCUUUAUAUACAAAAAUAGACGCAUAUAUGAUAUAGAUUACAUAGUUUUUGGACACAUGAGAAUACACAGAAAUCUGAAUGCACUUACCACUGCCCUAACACCAAGAAUUGAUUGGUAAGUUUGUGUCUUGAUUUUGAGUUAUGUUUUGGUGAUAGGGUGACUUUUAAUUGUCUUCUUAGCGAUCUUUGUAAUCGGGAAAAAAAAUAUUGCAGACGAAUAAGCUAAGGAUGUUGGCUUCUGGAAAAGGGGUAUGGCUUAAUGAGGAAUUUAUUCUGAGCUCAGCAAAUGGAGAAUUACGUUCCCUCAUAUCCAAGCUGUGUUGGUCGAUGCAGGUUUUUACUUUCGGGUCAGUGCCCCUUAAAAGAGAAGUUUACUCUUGAUGCAAAGGAUUUCAAGCUAUAUGAGGAAAUUGUUGAAUGAGUUAGUGCCUCAUGUAUUGAGCUCUUUGUGUUCCUUUGAACCAGACGGUUGCCAGCAGGGUUCUUGAUUUGGAAAAAAGUUGUAACAAUGACCUGGUCAUUGAAAACCAAAAACCUGGUUCUUAGUGAAGAAAUGAUUUCUACUUGUGUGUUGAAGUAAGUGUGUGCUGCAACAAGUUACAGACAACUGAAUUUGGUUGUGAAGGAACAUAUAGGAACAACAUCGGCUUUUGUUCAGGUUAUAAAACAAUGAUAAACCUUUUUUGUAUUACAAUUAGAUAGAUUCCAUGGUUGUGCAAUCAUUUAAAGAAAAAUAAUAAUCCGAAGAAAUUGGAUUGUAUGUAUUUUUUUUGUUUCAUUUUAUUUUAUUUUUGUGUUUGAAAUUGUGACGUUGGAAUCUUGGCAAGUGCUACAAAAUGUGAAUUGCAAAAGGAGUACCAACUUCUGAAAUAAACAGAGUUGUUUAACCCAUUUACUCAACAAUGGUAAACGGGUAUAUGUCGGCGGAAGUGGCGAAUGCGAUUGAGAAGAAUAAGAAGAAGCUUGUGGAAGAAGCAGGUGGCGGAUUGAAGGACGGGAGGAUGCUGCUGUUGUUUCAACCGCGUAAAUUUUUUACAUGUUUUCGGAUAUGUGUUACUAACUGACUGCCCGCUUCUUUUUUUGAAAGGAAGUUUUAUAUA